CCUACGGGUGGCAGCAGUGAGGAAUAUUGGUCAAUGGCCGAGAGGCUGAACCAGCCAAGUCGCGUGAGGGAUGACGGCCCUACGGGUUGUAAACCUCUUUUGUCGGGGAGCAAAGAGAGUCACGUGUGGCUCAUUGAGAGUACCCGAAGAAAAAGCAUCGGCUAACGCCGGGCCAUCAGCCGCGGUAAUACGGAGGAUGCGAGCGUUAUCCGGAUUUAUUGGGUUUAAAGGGUGCGCAGGCGGAGGGGCAAGUCAGUGGUAAAAUUGCGGGGCGCAACCCCGUACUGCCGUUGAAACUGCAUCCCUUGAGUGCGCGAGAAGUAUGCGGAAGGCGUGGUGUAGCGGUGAAAUGCAUAGAUAUCACGCAGAACUCCGAUUGCGAAGGCAGCAUACCGGCGCGCAACUGACGCUCAUGCACGAAAGCGUGGGUAUCGAACAGGAUUAGAUACCCCUGUAGUC
rnacentral:rRNA from 1 species